CUUUCUACUGGGGCUUGACUUGGUGAUGAAUACAAGAGCCUCUUCUGGGCCAGGGGGGAAUCAGGACCCUGGACAGCUCCUAGUCUGGCGUGGUGGUUAAAAGCGAUAGACUCGUAAUCAGGUGAACUGGGUUCAUGUCUCCGCUCCUCCACAUGCAGCUGCUGGGUGACCUUGAGUUAGUCACACUUCUUUGAAGUCUCUCAGCCCCACUCACCUCACAGAGUGUUUGUUGUGGGGGAGGAAGGGAAAGGAGAAUGUUAGCCACUUUGAGACUCCUUCGGGUAGUGAUAAAGCGGGAUAUCAAAUCCAAACUCUUCUUCUUCUUCUAGGGAAACCUGCUAUCUGAGAUUGGGAAGAUGUUGUCAUCCCCUCUUAAGCCAUAUAAAGGUUGGCAGGGCCUCGCCUACCAGUGGCUCCACCUCCCUAGGAGGAGGAGCUUGCAGUGUCUAAGUUUAUCUCCAUCCAGCAAGCAAGAGGCAUUAUCACAAUUCAAGGGCACGUUUCAGCCAGGCAAAGGCAAUUGAGAGUCUGGAUCAACACAGAUGAGAAGUAUGGCCCACAGAGCAGGUGAGGCAGUCUCAAGGGCCAGGUAGAAAAGCCUGAUGGGCCACAUCCAGCCAACAGACUUGAAAUUUCCCUCCCUGCCUUUUUCCAAAGUGGUUCUCAUAGGCAAGCCAUUGCUUCCCAAACUUGGUCUCCAGCUUGGUUUUCCAAUUCCCAUCAUCCCUGACCAAUGGCCUUGCUAGCUAGGGAUGAUGAAAGUUGUAGUCCAAAAACAGCUGGAAACCCAAGUUUGGGAAACACUGGGCCAGGCCUAGCAAUGUAAAGGGCAAGGUGACAGAGCCUCUUCUCUAAAUCUGGUGAUCGGCUCCUUCAGCUUGCUCGGGAGUCCUCCCUUUCCCCAUCAGUGGUUGAUAGAAGAAAAGCUAGUUGGGCUUACAUCCUAUCAAGGCAGCGGGGAAGUCAAAUCUCUUUUAUGUGUCUGUAUUGAAAUGGUCCUGCCAGGCAAGGAGUUGGCCUCCCUCUGCUUCUGCUUGCAAUGAGCUCAGCAAAUUAUGAGCAACAGCCAUUUACUGUGAGCCCCAGUGCUCCAGUAACUGGGAGAGGAUGGGGCAGGAGCCAAAGGACUCUCCCUGGAACACUUUCUGGCUUUCUCCUUUCAUCAGCAUGCUUUUCUUUAAUAAGGCCUGCUGGCAUGAUCUUACUCUGAAAAAGAGAGAGAGAAAAAACACUCCUCUGUGCAUUGCCGGAAACUAUGCAAUUCUGUGUUGCAGUGCAGCAGCCCCAGGCAGAAUCAUGUGUCCACAACAUCUCUGAUAAAGCCCAUAUUAUGAUAUCUGGAGCAGCCUCCCCUAGUCUGUGGUUCUCCAGAUGUUGUGGGACAUCAACUCCCAUCAGUCCAAGCCAGCAUGGCCAAUGGUCAAGGGUCAAGGGAUUUGCAGUCCGGUGGUGCUCAAUGGUGGAGCAGCAGCUUUGGAUGCAAAAGGUCCCUGGUAUGGCCAAACUGGACAAAGAAAAGACUCCUGCCUGAAACCCUGGAGAACCACUGCCAGCCAGUACUGAGCUGUAUUAACCAAUGGCCUGACUCUGGAUAAGGCAGCUUCCUGAAGCAAGCUAACUUUACUUUCUAGAAUGAACCACCUUUACUGGCUGGAGUGAGCCAUCCCAACUGGGUGAAGUGAACCAUCUCUCCUGGCUAGAGUGAAUCACCUCCCCUAGCUAGAGUGAACCAUCUCCACCUGCUGGAGUGAACCAUCUCUCCUGGCUAGAGUGAACCACCUCCACCUGCUAGAGUGAACCAUCUCUCCUGGCUAGAGUGAACCACCUCCACCUGCUGGAAUGAACCACCUCUCCUGGCUUAGAGUGAACCUCCUCCACCUGCUGGAGUGAACCUUCUCUCCUUGUUGAAGUGAACCAUCUCUACCUGCUUGUCUGUGAACAGACAUUGUGUCCAUCCUGCAAACCAUUGAAAUCCUCCCCAAAUUUGCCACCUGUGAAUGGCAUGAUGAAUUCAGAAAAGUCCUUUCGGCUCAGGCUUUCUGAGAUUGAAGAGAGUCCCACAGGACACACACACCGUCUUGCAGAAGGCCAAAACGGCUCAUCGGAUGUCACAGGCUGCCCGGAUUUUAUGCUGCAUCCUUGCACACUGAGAGGGAUAAAAAGCAGCAUAUGGGCCUUUGCUUCCAACGCGACUUUGCAGAGCUUAAUUGGAUCAUCCAUUUUUGCUAUAUUAACAUAUUGGGACGGCAGCUAAUCCCCUCGGGAGGCCCUGUAACAUUGCAGAUUAAAGCACUUUUCAUGAUCUGCAUGACA
rnacentral:lncRNA from 1 species